ACCGCGGCGGCUGGCUUAACACAUGCAAGUCGCACGAGAACGCCCGGGCUUUGCCGGGGCAAGUACAGUGGCGGACGGGUGCGUAUCGCGUAGAUAACCUACCCUCAGGCGCGGGACAAUCGCGGGAAACCGCGGCUAAUACCGCACGUCGUCUGGCCCCCGCAUGGGGGCCAGAUGAAAGCUCGGGUCCGCCCGGGCGCCUUCGGAUGGGUCUGCGUUGGAUUAGCUUGUUGGUGAGGCAACGGCUCACCAAGGCAACGAUCCAUAGCUGGUCUGAGAGGACGAUCAGUCACACUGGGACUGAGACACGGCCCAGACUCCUACGGGAGGCAGCAGUGGGGAAUCUUGCACAAUGGGGUCACCCCUGAUGCAGCCAUGCCGCGUGGAGGAAGACACCCCUAUGGGGCGUAAACUCCUUUUCUGAACGAAGAAACCCCUGUAGGUUCAGGGCGCGACGGUAGUUCAGGAAUAAGCACCGGCUAACUCCGUGCCAGCAGCCGCGGU
rnacentral:rRNA from 1 species